AUACGUAGGGUGCAAGCGUUAAUCGGAAUUACUGGGCGUAAAGCGUGCGCAGGCGGUUUUGUAAGACAGUGGUGAAAUCCCCGGGCUCAACCUGGGAACUGCCAUUGUGACUGCGAGGCUGGAGUGCGGCAGAGGGGGGUGGAAUUUCGCGUGUAGCAGUGGAAUGCGUAGAUAUGCGGAGGAAACCCGAUGGCGAAGGCAAUCCCCUGGGCCUGCACUGACGCUCAUGCACGAAAGCGUGGGGAGCAAACAGGAUUAGAUACCCUGGUAGUCCACGCCCUAAACGAUGUCAACUGGUUGUUGGGGAUUUAUUUUCUCAGUAACGAAGCUAACGCGUGAAGUUGACCGCCUGGGGAGUACGGCCGCAAGGUUAAAACUCAAAUGAAUUGACGGGG
rnacentral:rRNA from 1 species